rnacentral:misc_RNA from 1 species
AAUGUAGGGAUUGAGAUUCCAACAAACUUUUUCACUGGAGGGAGGUCAGGAAUUUACUAGAGUGAUCUGUGACUUUGGUUAAAAGCCUGUGCCUGAACUUCUAAAUUUUAUAACCAUCAUCAUAACAAGGUUACUCUAAAUUAUUUGAUACUUUAUUUGGUCAUUUUAGUUUUUAUUUCACUUCUUCUGAUAGAAAUAUCUCUUGCCUAAGGCCUUUUUGAAGUGAGGUGUCAUAG